GAUGAACGCUGGCGGCGUGCCUAAUACAUGCAAGUCGAGCGAACGGACGAGAAGCUUGCUUCUCUGAUGUUAGCGGCGGACGGGUGAGUAACACGUGGAUAACCUACCUAUAAGACUGGGAUAACUUCGGGAAACCGGAGCUAAUACCGGAUGAUCUUUUGAACCGCAUGGUUCAAAAGUGAAAGACGGUCUUGCUGUCACUUAUAGAUGGAUCCGCGCUGCAUUAGCUAGUUGGUAAGGUAAUGGCUUACCAAGGCAACGAUGCAUAGCCGACCUGAGAGGCGGAUCGGCCACACUGGAGGUGAGACACGGUCCAGACUCCUACGGGAGGCAGCAGUAGGGAAUCUUCCGCAAUGGGCGAAAGCAUGGCGGAGCAACGCCGCGUGAGUGAUGAAGGUCUUCGGAUCGUAAAACUCUGUUAUUAGGGAAGAACAUAUGUGUAAGUAACUGUGCACAUCUUGACGGUACCUAAUCAGAAAGCCACGGCUAACUACGUG
rnacentral:rRNA from 1 species